rnacentral:rRNA from 1 species
GAAAUUGUUACGGAAUCAUAGCUAUAUGUCAAAGAGAGCCUGGCACAAAAACCACGUGUCAAUUAAAAAGGCUAAAGUGGUUUAUCAUAAUUUAUACUACAUGUUUAACUCUAAUAAGAAAUUAAAUGUUUAAAAACAAACGGAGUGAAUUGAAAUAUCUUAGUAACUUCAGGAAAAUAAAUCAAAAGAGAUUUUUUAAGUAAUGUGAAUGAAAGAAAAAAAGUCUUAAUAAGUAAAUUGGAGUGCAUAUCUGUUUGAAUAAAAGGGGAACCUUCCUCUAAGACUAAAUAUGAUAUAUAUGCGAUAGCGAAAAGUACCGUGAGGGAAAGGAUUUAAAUAGCAAUUUUAUAAGCAGCUUGAUAAAAGUUUAAAUAAACAAUAAAAGCGUACCUUUUGCAUAAUGGGUCAGUAAGUUAAUGUUUGAUGCGAGCAGUAAUGCGUAGAUAAAACAAUCAUGACGUAAUGAUAUAGUAUCAAAAAUUAGACCCGAAGCCUAGUGAUAUUACCACAAUCAGGAUUAUAAAGGUCCGAACGGGUUAUCGUUGUAAAGAUAUCCGAAGAGUUGUGGUAAGUUAGUGAAAGACAAUACUGACUAGGAUAGCUGGUUUUCUGCGAAACCUAUAUAAGUAGGUAAUUUAAAUAGAAUAUCAGAAGGUACAGAAUUGUGAUCUCAUACAACUAGUAUUUAUCUUUUGAGGUUUGCUUUGCAAGAAAACAAGGAUAAAUGCUUUUUGUGGACAUUGGGGGGUCGUGAAGACUCUAUCAGUGAGUAUUUGUUCUCGGAAGGACUAGAUAUGAA